GGAUAUGAAGGGGAUCUAGCUGUGCCAUCUGUCACCACAGUUGACUUGUCUGAUCGGCCUGGUGAAGCGGGUGCCCCUUUCCUCCCCCACUGAUCCACAUGCACCCUCCUGCAGGAAGCUGUAUGCUGGAUGGAAGAGGGUGACCACCUCGGAUGGAGGAGGACCGUCCAGGAGCCAAGGGUUUCCGAGUAACUGCGUUCUCCAGACCCCUUACCAUCAGUCCUCUCAAAACACUCCACUUCUUUUGGAUCCACUUAUGCCAAUCGCUUUUGCCACUUUCU
rfam:Cavia porcellus supercont2_115 genomic scaffold, whole genome shotgun sequence.